ensembl:lncRNA
AAUUUGUUUGUAGUCUAAAGCAAGCGGGAGGGAGACUGUAAUAGCCCAGACGUUCUGCCUUAUGCUACAUAGUAGUUUUGCCCCAUUGUGUGCUGUAUUGCCGACCGAGUGAGCCCACGGGUGCACAGAAUGUUGCAUACCUGAUCGGUCGGGCUUUGAAAGAGCACAAGGAUACGGUAGACUUGUUGCAUCUGUGGGCGAUUUUAACUUCUUACUGUGGGGGCUUCGUGGGAAGUAUCGUCCAGAGGCGCUGUUGCUUUGCCGGAGCUGAGUGCCGAAGGCGGGGUGGAUUUUGGUGGUGGUGCUACUUCACGAGUGCAGUGUGGAGUGUGUGUGUGUGUGUAUGUGAGUGUUUCCACACAGGUGUAACGAAAGUGUGCGGUGGUGUGGAGGCCUAUUAG